rnacentral:rRNA from 1 species
GACGAACGCUGGCGGCGUGCUUAACACAUGCAAGUCGAACGGAAAGGCCCUGCUUUUGUGGGGUGCUCGAGUGGCGAACGGGUGAGUAACACGUGAGUAACCUGCCCUUGACUUUGGGAUAACUUCAGGAAACUGGGGCUAAUACCGGAUAGGAGCUCUUGCUGCAUGGUGGGGGUUGGAAAGUUUCGGCGGUUGGGGAUGGACUCGCGGCUUAUCAGCUUGUUGGUGGGGUAGUGGCUUACCAAGGUUUUGACGGGUAGCCGGCCUGAGAGGGUGACCGGCCACAUUGGGACUGCGGUACGGCCCAGACUCCUACGGUAGGCAGCAGUGGGGAAUAUUGCACAAUGGGCGGAAGCCUGAUGCAGCAACGCCGCGUGCGGGAUGACGGCCUUCGGGUUGUAAACCGCUUUCGCCUGUGACGAAGCGUGAGUGACGGUAAUGGGUAAAGAAGCACCGGCUAACUACGUG